GCAAGUCGAGCGAACCCUUCGGGGUUAGCGGCGGACGGGUGAGUAACGCGUGGGAACGUGCCUUUUGGUUCGGAACAGCCCUUGGAAACGGGGAUUAAUUCCGGAUGAGCCCUUCGGGGGAAAGACUUCGGUCGCCAAGAGAUCGGCCCGCGUCGGAUUAGGUAGUUGGUAGGGUAACGGCCUACCAAGCCGACGAUCCGUACCUGGUUUGAGAGGAUGACC
rnacentral:rRNA from 1 species